CGCGCGUGUCCGUUCCUGCUCGCGUCUCCGCGCGCGCGCCCCCGUGCGCGUGUGCCCGCGCGCUCCUCCGCGUGCGUCCACGUUGUGCGCGUGUGUCCGCGUGCGUGCGUGCGCGCGUUGAACUCGGCGCGCGGCCGUCCCGUCCCGCUGCGCGCGGGGGGAGCGGCGGCCGCGCGCCCAACGGCCGAGCGCGCGCGCGCGCAGAGCGCGGCGGAGAGCCCCGGGCCGCGGUGCGGCAGCGCCGCUCCGAGCCGGGCACCCCGCCGCCCUCCUGCCCCCCUCGGAGCCGUGCGCCCUCCUUCGCAUCUUCACUGAAACCGGGCAGGCUCCGCAAGGGGAAAUAGCUCACAUCCCCAGCAAUUUAAGUUGUUAAAGUGCGUGUCUGCCCUUUUAAAAAGGGUGUUUGAUAAGUCCUGCCUUUCCUCCCAGGACCCAACACUCCUAAAACUCAAAAAAAAAAAAAAAAAAAGAAAAGAAAAAGAAAAUAAAUUGUCUCUAAGCAAGUGACCUGUUCCAGGUUUUAGUAAACAAAGUGUGAUUCAGUGAUUCAUACUGAUAUCGGUGCGGCAGAGCAGGGGGGACAAUGGUGUCAGUUUCUGUAUAAAAAUAAAAAUGAGCCCAACUGUUGAGAGCUGGUCAGUAGCAGGGCUCGGUGCCUGCCCAGUGACCCCCUGGCCCAGCUAUGGCUGCAGAGGCUGUUCCAUGCUAGGCUGAGCAAUGGCAUCUGGGCCCUUUUCCCCGCGCGGGCAGGCAGGGGGGCCCUGCCCCGGCACUGCAGGCUCUUCCUCCUUCCCUGCACUCGGGCUUGGCUGGGGGAACAGAAACCCCUGCCUUGGGCUGCAGAGCGCUGACCCCAGCGGCCAUCGCUCCGAAAGCUUCAAACAAAUGAUCCACUUCCUCCUCUGUUUGCUUUGGAGUCGCGGCAUCUGGACUUUGCGCUGGCGGCUGAUUUUUUUCCCCUCCUCUGGUCUUCAAGAACAACCAAAAUAACCAACCAGAGAAAUGCCCACAGGCUCGAGCUAUUCCAGAUUUUAUUUUUUUUUAUGAUAAUUAUUAUUAUUAUUUCCUUAAGGAGAGCAAUCAGGUUCCUCGAAUUUCCUUCUCUUUAUAGUUUCUUUUUUUUUUUUCCCUCGCCUUGGCCAGAAGUGUGGAGUAGACCGGGGAGCGAACAGCCUAUUAUUUUCUGCAGUUGUUUACUCGUUCUGUAGAUGGUGCUUGUUCCCAGGGCUCUAAGCCUCUCUAUAAUUAAACCCAUUUUAAUUGUUAGUUAGAAACGUCAUUUCGGGGACUUUCCAAGAGUUACGGAGAAAGCCAGCCGAGAUAACUAUUUCACUACCGAGUCGCUCGCAGCCUGGUUUCUGCCCGGUUCCUCCUGCGGCCCAGGCACGGCAUGGGGCUGAUCUCGGAGCGGGAUUGCGGCCGGCCCAGGGCCAGCAGCCCCUCCGCCAGCACAGCCCGCUGCCCUGCUGCUUUUGUGCUAGUCGCUUGUCCCCUGUGCAUUUGUUUUGGAAACUUGGGGUUUAAGGCUGCACAUUUCCGCGGAUCAAGUGGCAAAGGCUGAAGCCGAGAAGGAAUUUUUUCCAGUGAUUUAGCUUGGCAAACCCCGACUCCAUGGUGGUCUGCCUUGCAUUGCCUGCGCACAUGCUCAGCUCAGGAAUUUAGCUGCUCACCCCACCUCGUGGCUAAAAGUCAGAGCCCUCCGGGCCAGAGUGGGAAUUUGUGUGGGCAUGAAUUCACACCGAGCGGAGGAAUGAAAAGAUUGGAGCCUUACACCGCCCGCCAGAGCCGUGCCAGAACUUUGAUAGAUGCAAAUGAAUAAAGAUAGGUAAAUGAAUAAAUGAAAGUCAAUUAUUAAAGACGAUUACUGGAAAAGUGAAUGAAUGCAAUGCCAUGCUCACUAGCCUUCUUGUAUGAGUCAGUCCAUCCAGGCCCAGCAGAUUCCAGAUGGGAUACUACAGCUGGGCCUGGGAAGCAGGAAUAAAUGUCCAGAACCUCCCAAGCCCUUCUCAAACUUGUCCUCAGCACAGGAGGUGCUUUUGGACCCCUCUCCUUCCCUGGGUCAAAUGCAAGCAGAUGCUAAACUUGUCACAAAAUACAGAGGGAUAAGAUUCUGCAUUAGACCUGUGCCCACAUUUAGCAGAGGAAUUAAGAACCACUUUCAUGCACGAGAGCUGAAGCAGGCCAGAGUGGCCAGAAGGCGGAGAAGAAGAAGGGGGCAGCGAAUGAAAUGAUAAAGGCAGGAGAUUUAAAGGAUUACUUUUUCCAAUUGCGUGUGUGUAUAAAACUGUGGGCUCGUUGGCACAUGAUGCUGUAAAGGUCAAAAGUAUAAAACAGGUCAAAAAAGCAAUUUGACAAAUUUAUGGAGGAAAAGUCCCUGGAGGUUUACUAAAGGCAAAGGCAGACCUCUGCAACAUGUUGCUGGACAACGCACAGCAAAAGUAUCACUCUCUCAUCCCCGUUUUCCCCCAUAAGCAUUGACUGCUCUUGGAGGUGAGAGCCACAACAGACCUUUGGUCUGAUCCAGUUUGGCACUGGGAUGUUCAAAUCAGCACUAUCUUGUCCCCGAGCCACGGAGCACGGGUUCACACGCUGGCCUCUGCUGAAGGCUGGAGAGCAGUCUCAUGGGGUGGCUGCACUCUUUGCCCAGUUUAACUCCCCGCCAGGGUAAUAAGAGGUUACUUUGAGCACUGAGUGUAAACUGAAUCCAAGUGCCAGCUUUGCCACAAAUAUAUUUGAUGAUGGUGCAGCUCCCGUGGCAAAAGAACAAGGUUGCUAUCUUAAGACACCUGCACUUCCCCUCACCUGGAGCCAUUUGGCAGUGGGAAGCCUGCAGAUCUACUUGCGUCAGAGUUACUGAGCAAGAACUUGAGUAUGAAAAAGCCUGAAUUGUUGAAAACAAGGUGGGGGUGGGGUGUUUUGGUUUAUUCCCCCUCCUACCACUCAGUUCCCAAAGUUUCAAGGUAGGAAAGGGAAGUGCUUUCGUCACAAGCAACGUUUUCCGCUGUGAGUUUCAGAUGAGUUGGGCAUUUCACUCCCCUGGUCCCAUGGGAAUCCUCAGGUAAACAGACAUGUCUUGUCUGCAGCGGUGCUCCGAUGUACAGCGGCUGGGAGCAGAGGAAGGACAAACCUCCUGACUUUAUUUUUGCUGGGGGUGUAAAAUGAGCCAAGGCUUUCUGCAGUCACUAUUCUAUACAUAUCUUUUGGGUCUGAUGCUAUUUUUGUUGGCUGUGACCCUGGAGGUGUAGGUGUGGAAGUGCCUUUCUGCUGCUUUCUGCAUGCGGGUGUAGAUGUUUCCUCUGUUCCAGGCACCUCCUCAGACUCUGUGGCCUUUCAGGGGGAGUAGGCGGAUGUCAGCGUGGCCUUUCCCCACCUGUCUGUAACUUUUUAAUACUUCUUUUUAUUUUGGCCUUGCGCUUCUUCCAUGGAACAUCUCUGGGUAGCCACUGGGAGGUGUAAAUGGCUUGAGAUGGAAACCACAGCUUGUAGGUGCGCCCUCUGCCAGGCUUUUCUGGCACCCGAGGAAGUCAGGUCUGUGCCUGCUCCCAAGCAAAAGGGAUAUUACCAGCUGCUCGGUGAGAAAACAAAUUCACAGAGAUACAGGAAAGUGUGUUAAGGUGGUGGGAAGCAACGGGAGUGAGAUUCCUGGCAGCUCGGGUAUGUAAACAUUCAUAAAAUAGAGAGUGUGUGCAUGUGUGUACUUUGUGGUGGCAGGAAACCCAAGAAGCUAGCUCCAUUAUUUUUGCUGGAAUUGGUAGCAGCCGUACCAGACAAAUAUUAUAAGCCCUUAAUCCUCCUGACUUUACACCUGUGAAUGACCUAAAGACCAUCCAAGGUGAUCUAAAUUACAGCACAUCUUUACUAAUUAGUAAUGGGGUUUGGGAUCUGAUUUAGUUGUUUGUAAAAAGGGCUUUCUUGUUUCUCAGUAGCUCAGAUGUUGGACUACCUCUGGGGGAAGUGAGGGGAAGGCAGGAGGUGGAGGUAAUGUGUGGCCUCUUCUGAAGUGUCACAUGGAUGUGACUAGCCUGCCACAAAUUUAGCUCCGGUGGCACUGACAAGACACUGCAGUGGAAAAAGCAGAGAUGUCCUUUUAAGCAGACGCAGGCAGGACAGCAAGCCCAUGCAAGUGUUUAGCUGUUUGUCAUGACUGCUCAGCAGGCUGGCCUAGCCACGUCCUGGGGUCUGUCCAGCUGCACCCAGACACAUGCAGCCUGUGCUGAGGGUGGGUGCAGGGCUGAGACACACGCCAGUGUGGCAGUAGGUUUGAGGGGCUGGAGGAGAAGACCAUCACCAGGACCAGCUGCUGCAUGGGUGUGGAAAGUGAAGGCGCCUGACCAGGAACAUCUGUCUCCCUGCUUGUGACCUGGGUGUGGGGCUGUUACUUCACCCCAGCUCCGUGGCAGUGCAGUCCCCAGCUGGGGUCUGCACAUCCUGUCUGGACACAAGGACAAGCAGGAAAGCCCAACAGCCUCCUCACACUGCGCCACAGAUCUCCCUUGCUGCUGCACCCACCACCUCCUGCAGAGAAAUCUCUCUUGUUAGGGGUGUGCCUGUUCUCAGUGAAGUUGCAAACCCUCUAGGGCAAGGCGCAAGACUCGUCUGAUCUCCUCCCUGAACAUGCCACAAGUGCGUGAAGCUAGAGGAGGGAUUUCCAUCCUGCCAGUGUGGUAAUGGGAGCUGAGGAGGUGCCCAGCCUGGCUGCAGCAAGGCGAGGUAUGGAGCGAGAUGUGUUUCUCAUCAGUGGUGGAGCAGAGCCACGAAGCUGCUGUUGGGGAGACUGCAGUUCUAUCCUGCCCCAUCCCCUCCCUGUGGAGAGUCCACAUCCAUGGGACAGCCUGUGCAGCCAGGUGCCAGCAUCCUCUUUCCUCCAGCUCUCAGCUGGGCACAUGGUGGUCCUGAGGUCCCCAGCAUCCCUGCUGGGCCCAGCCUCAGGAGCAGAUUAUCGUGUGCAGCAAAGGCACAGCUUCAAAUAGGUGUCCUUAACCUGGCCUAAUCUGCACAGGGCUCUGUGCCUGCCAGGGCAGAGGGAAGUCAGCUAUAUCUCACCUCCAUAAAUUGUUGUUCAGAUUAAGGGAAGUGCCAGAAGCUUUAAAGAGGCUGUUGGCAGAUUCCAGAAAAAAAGAAACAAGUGACACCUGCUGCACAUCAAAACAGCAAUUACCUUUGUAUCAGUAAGAUGGUUAAUGCAUGUAACAAGUGGCUGGAGAUAUGGAAGGGCAUAGAUCUCAGAAACCAGGACAAAAUCAGUUUUUUCAAAUCCUGCAUCCAUGGUCCUGAGCUGAUAUACAAGCAAGAUGAUAAUGCAGCACAGUGGUUUUUGUUGGCCUCUGCCUGUUUCCAGCCACAGCAGCCCUGGCUGCUGAUUAUUCAGCAGACAUUAACCAGUGGAAUGUUUCUGUGAUUUUUUUUCUCAAAUAAAGAGUGCUGGGAAAAAAUG